UACGUAGGGGGCAAGCGUUGUCCGGAAUCAUUGGGCGUAAAGAGCGCGUAGGCGGUCCGGUAAGUCCGCUCUGAAAGUCCGGGGCUCAACCCCGGGAGGCGGGCGGAUACUGUCGGGCUAGAGUCCGGAAGAGGCGAGUGGAAUUCCUGGUGUAGCGGUGGAAAUGCGCAGAUAUCAGGAGGAACACCAAUGGCGAAGGCAGCUCGCUGGGACGGUACUGGACGCUGGAGGCGCGAAAGCGUGGGGAGCAAAC
rnacentral:rRNA from 1 species